AUGCCCGUGCACCAGGCGGAGUGGCACUGGCGCCACCGCGUGCCGCUGCCGUACCCCGAUGUGACGCUGCCGCACGACUGGCAUCUAGAUCCGGAAAGGAUCCCAUUGCCGGCGGCGCCGCGGUCGGCUAGGGCGCAUGCAGAGGAGGUGCGUCGCCAGCGGGCGCUCCUGACGCUGGAGCAGCGCCGCGACGAGGCGUACACCUUCGACUCGCCCAACUGGGUGCGCUGGUUCGCCUACCAGGCGGCCCUUGCGGCCGUCUACCAGAAGAGCGAGGAGGACGAGCGGCGCAGGGCGGAGGCGGCAGAAGAAGAGGAAGCUCGGUACGAGGCGGCCAUGGCGCAGGCCAUGGCCCUUUCCGCGGCCGGCGACUGCGUGGUGCAACCGGUGGCCCCGUCGUUCCCUCCCUGA
rnacentral:rRNA from 1 species